GGAGGUACAGUCAGGACAUUAUUGUCAUAACUUGGGCAGCAGUUACAGAGGCAAGCAAGGUGGAGAGGGGGUGGAAAUGAAGGGAGCAAAACCAUGUGAAAGGUCACUGAGGAAGUUCCAGUGUGGAUGCCUGGAAGAUACAAGAGAACAACUCCCAGAGAUUUGGAAAUACGGAGGAGGAGAGGUUUAAAAGUGUGAGUUCAGAUUGGGACAUUUAGAGUUUGGGUGACUUGAGGAAUGUCCUACGAUGAGUCCAUUAGGCUUUUGGAGACGAGGGCCCUGAGAGAAGCUGGGGCUAGAGAUACACUUGGGAAUUGUCCACAUGGAGGUACUAACUUAAGCCAUGAGAGGAAGAGGAGGAGGAAAAGGAGAAAGAGACACAGAGAGAGAGAGAGAGAGAGAGCUCACCAAGAACAAAUUAUUGGGGAACACCUACCUUUAGGAGAGGAGAAAAAAUAGUAGGAGUAUUUGAAGAGUGAGAGAGUAACCAGAAGAUUGAAAUGUCAUGGAAACCAAAGACACAGUAUCAAGACAGAAGAAAUCAUCGAUAACACUGAAGGCAGCACACUACGGGGGAGAAAGAAGACUGGGAAUUGGUGGUUAGAUGUGACCACCUGGAGAUCUGCCAUCCCCCUGCCCACGUCCCAAAGAGCAGGUAGAUGCCCUUGCGCACCAGUCAGGAAUGCAAUGGGGAGUCAUGGAAAAUUUUCCAGCAGAAGAUUGACAAGAUCAGAGUUUGCUGGAAGCAGGCUCACAUGAGUGUAAGAUGGCUGGGAAGGGGAAAAAUCAGGUGGACACCAUUUAGUGGGAUAUUGCAGAAGUCCAGACUGAGGGAGGUCUAGAAGCUAAUUAAGGGCUGGUGGCUUCAAUGUUACAACAUGUAGAGCAGGACAAUGACAGGCCGAAGGUCAUGGGGCUCCCAGGGCUUCCUGGACCUCAGGUGGGUAUGGCCAUUGCUCUUUGCAUGUCACCAGCAACAAGUGUUUCCCAACUCGGUCUCUCUCAGCCUCCGUAGCUAAUAUUUGCCUCCUAUUGAUUCAGUAUCUAGCCUGUUACUUUUUAACUGGAGCCUGGGGUUCAAAGGCCUGACUGUUGUUUAAACACUCAUUACAUUGCGGAGGGCAUGUCCCCCUGACAAUCUCAACUCAUGAACAAGCAAGGAUCUUCUAAGUAAAUAUAGAAUGCAGAGAAGGCAAGAGGGGGCCAGGAUGGGGGUUGAGGUCAUGGUGAGAGGGGUUGUGAGGGAGGGUGAUGACCCUAGUGGCAGAGUCUUAGAAUUGCUAAGAGAGCUACAUAACUAGAAUUCAAAAGACAAAUCCCAAACUCUAACUUUCUGCUAUAAACAAUAUUAAAUACAGUCAUGUUCAUGUGUUGCUUAACAACUGGGACACAUUCUGAGAAAUGCGUUGUUAUGCGAUUUCAUCGUUGUGCAAACAUCAGAGUGUACUCACACAAACCUGGAUGGCAUAGCCUGCUACACACCUAGGCUAUAUGGUCCAGCCUAUUGCUCCGAGGCUACAAGCCUGUACAGCAUGUGACUGUUCUGUUCAGGCAAUUGUAACACAAUGAUAAGGGUUUGUGCAUCUAAGCGUAGCUAAACAUAGAAAGGGUGAUGGGUUGCAAAGGCUAUGAUGUCACUAGGCAACAUGAGUAGGCAACAGGAAUUUUUCAGCUCCAUUAUCAUCUCACGGGUCCACCAUCGUCUAUGGGAGUCCAUUGCUGACUGAGAUGUCUAUGUGGUGCAUGACUGUAUGUUACAACUUAAUAUCUAAAAUCCUUUAAUAACAGAAACUCUUUAAAAAAUUCAGCAUCUCAGAGCUCCAUCAAGGAGUUCCUGGGAGUAGAAAAUCCAGUCCUCAGUCUCUGGUCCCUUCACCCUUCAAUUCUGUUGGACAAAGGGAAGUUUGUGUUGUCCCUGGAAGGUCCCUGGAAAAUAUUAGAUGCUUGUUUUGUGGUGUGGGAAAGGCUGGAGGGAGGCGGGGGGUUCUGUCCUGUGGCAGCCAGAAAGGCAGUGCAGUGUCUUUUAAGUGCUGAAACUGGGGCUGUCCCAGAGAUCAGGCUGUCUUUUCCCACUGUGCUGGCAUCCCGUAUUCCACUGGCGUCAGUGGAUUUUGUAAACUUAAGUAUGCCCCCUACCCUCAAAAACCUCCCCAGCUGGGCGCGGUGGCUCACGCGCUGGUGUGGAAAUAUUAUAAGAGGGUAAACUGAAGACCCCAGAAGCUUGGCAGAUGGCAGGAAGACCACUGUCCCCAGGGGAAAUUCACUCUGUAAAAAGAUGCUUAAGGCUGAAGAUAAACUCUCCACGGCAGCUUGGCUUAUUGUUCCCAUUUCCUUCCCUUUUCUUUUGAGUGCCACUAGGUAUUUCCCAGCCCCGUGGGAGGCUCUGGCAGGUGGCUUGGAGGCUGC
rnacentral:lncRNA from 1 species